CCUCCUGGUGAAAAGAUAGCCCAGCCCCGCCCGACCCAUCAGUCCCUCCAGCUCUGGCAGGGUCCAGGCUGGCAAGGGUACAGAGAAGGGGAGAGAGACAGACAGACCAACCCUAGGGAGAUGCCAAGGUGCCCAAUUCAGGAUCCCCUGUCCCCGGCAGGUGACUACCUCUAUCCCAACCUGAGUCCUGCACACAGCUCUCAUCUCGCGCCAGCGAUGGACUGUCCAAGCAUCACCUGGAGAAACGCUUUCCCUUGAACUCGGA